AUGGCACUCCGGGUCACCAGGAACACGAAAAUCAAUGCUGAAAAUAAGGUGCAGGUCAAUAUGGGAGGUGCAAAUGUGUGCCCAUGGCGGCUGCUGCAGCCUCCAAGCCAGGGCUGAGGCCAAGAACAGCUUUUGGAGACAUUGGCAACAAAGUCAGUGAACAGCCACCGGCCAAAAUGCCUCUGAAGAAGGAAGUAAAAACUUCAGCUACUGGAAAAGUUAUUGCUAAAAAACUACCAAAGCCUCUGGAGAAGCUGCCAGUGCUGAUGCCGGUGCCCGAGCCUGAGCCAGAACCUGAGCCUGUUAAAGAAGAAAAGCUUUCAUCUGAGCCUAUUCUGGUUGAUACUUCUUCUCCAAACCCAAUGGAAACAUCUGGAUGUGCCCCUGCAGAAGAGUAUCUGUGUCAGGUUUUCUCAGAUGUAAUUCUUGCAGUGAGUGAUGUGGAUGCAGAAGAUGGGGCUGAUCCAAACCUUUGCGGUGAGUAUGUGAAAGAUAUUUAUGCUUAUCUGAGACAGCUUGAGGAAGAGCAAUCAGUCAGACCAAAAUACCUACUGGGUCAGGAAGUCACUGGAAACAUGAGAGCCAUCCUAAUUGACUGGCUAGUUCAGGUUCAAAUGAAAUUCAGGUUGCUGCAGGAAACCAUGUACAUGACUGUUUCCGUUAUUGAUCGCUUCAUGCAGAAUAAUCGUGUACCCAAGAAGAUGCUGCAGCUGGUUGGUAUCACUGCCAUGUUUAUUGCAAGCAAAUAUGAAGAAAUGUAUCCUCCAGAAAUUGGUGACUUUGCUUUCGUGACUGACAACACUUACACUAAGCACCAAAUCAGACAGAUGGAAGUGAAGAUUCUAAAAGCUUUAAACUUUGGUCUGGGUCGGCCUCUAUCCCUACACUUCCUUCGGAGAACAUCUAAGAUUGGAGAGAUUAAUGUCGAGCAACAUACUUUGACCAAAUACAUGAUGGAGCUGACUAUGUUGGACUAUGAUAUGGUGCACUUUCCUCCUUCUCAAAUUGCAGUGGGAGUUUUUUGCUUAGCACUGAAAAUUCUGGAUAAUGGUGAAUGGACCCGAACUCUACAGCAUUACCUGACAUACACUGAAGAAUCCCUUCUUCCUGUUAUGUAGCAUCUGGCCAAGAAUAUAGUCAUGGUAAAUUGUGGACUUACAAAGUACAUGACUAUCAAGAACAAGUAUGCCACAUCUAAGCAUGCUAAGAUCAGCACUCUAGCACAGCUGAACUCUGCACUAGUUCACGAGUUAGCCAAGGCUGUGACAAAAGUGUAA